CUUGAGAGGUUUGAGUUUUGAUUUCUUUUUCAGAUAAAGAUUAGUCUCACGCUUGUUUCGUUGAUCGAGGACAAAAUACCCAGCCUGAAGAGACCUUAUCUCUGCUGUAGCUCAAGAUCGUCAGUUAGACACUUAUGCCAGUAUGUUGCUAUGCAGACAUCCAUGGAAGCCAGUGAAAUCGAGAUACUGAUAGUGAAAGAUUUUCAUCCUCUAAACAGCUCUCAAAGUUUCAAAAACAAACUCGGUGUAGUAAACCCGUGCCAAAACGAGCUACGGCUGUUGAACGAGCAUCAGAUGUUGGGUGAAAUACUUGCCAGUUUUACCGAGCAGAAUCUGGUUUUAGCAUACCGGCAAAGGGUGCAAGGCUAAGGAAAUCGGCGAGGAUACGAAGCCGCACCCCAAAUGUGAUUACUGAAAAAAGUUUGCUUCGAUUUACUAAAUUACGGUUCUUUUUGUAAGAUUUUCAAAUUUUACUAGUUCUACAAAGUCAAAUAUAUUUAUGCAAGAACUAGAUAAUUACUAGAGGAGUUAGUCUGAGUUUUCGUCUAUGAUGGCUUCACUUUCGACAGCUUUAUAUAUUGGUACAGGUAUUUCGUGUAUAGAUUUUCUUUAAAUGUUAAAAUAUUUUUCAUCAUUCAUAUUGGACUCUAACUUCAUCAAC